AACCGUAUGCGCCGCUCCAUCUAAACCCUAACCUAACCGGUGCCAAAAUUUUCUUCUCCGACGCGACCAAAGACCUACAAAGCUCGUUUCAGAACACGAUGAAAUCUACAUAUCCACCAAAAUCAAACACCUGCACGUCUCAAAGAGAUCGACCUAAUGAAAUCCUGAAAACCCUAGAACAAAUCUGCUGAAAUUCACGCCGGGGAUGAAUCGGCCGAAAAAGUAGAUUAACAAUGGAAUCUGGCCAGCCACAAAGUGGAAAUCGGAAGAACAACAAACCCUAGUUGUAAAAGAUUUGAUUACUCAAUUGGCAAGAAACGAAACUGAGAGGUAAUUUGUUUGCAAAUCUACCGGAAGAGAUUACGGUAGAGAUCUUACGAAGACUCACCAUUAGGAGCGUUAUGACGUGCAUGUGUGUUCUUAAAUCGUGGCCCAUCUAAUUGAGGGGGAUGACUUUGGGAUGAGGAAAAGUCUAUGAACUGCAAAAGACAUUUUUGAAAGUAUAGCUACGAUAAAUGUGUGUCACUAUGAAUAGGUCCUAAACAGAUAGUCAUCUAGACGUACCUAAGUCAAAGUAACGCAGCUUACCCAAACCUCCAUACUCCAUCGGAGAUGCUCCCCAAUAAAAUAGUGUCUCAACAGUUCUCCAAUGCCUAUGCCCUCCGAGUCUAUAAUAGUCAGCUUCUGAAUUGUUUUAGGUGCUUCCAAGCGGGGUCUAACUUUCUACAAUAAAUUACAUUUACUUAAUAAGAUAACAUGCAAAAUGCUAAAGUGAUUUUUAAGUUGAAACUUAAGAAAACAAACCGUCCACAAUUGAAUAAACAUCGGACUAGGGUUGCACAUAUAAGCUGUCGCUAGUCUCUCGGGAUAAUUGUUUAGCAGCACGUUGAUGGAUUCAAACAUGUGGUGGCACUCGUAUCGGUAAUGAGCAUUUCGUGAGAUCAA